rnacentral:tRNA from 1 species
GCUUGAAUAGAGGGGUGACCUCCACCAUGGUAAGGUGGGGGUCAGCGGUUCGAAUCCGCUUGGAAGCU